UACAUACUCCCUCCUUUCGGAAUUACUCGUCCAAGAAAUGAAUGUAUCUAGAUGUAUUUUAGUUGUAGAUACAUCCAUUUUUGUGACAAGUAAUUCCGAACGGAGGGAGUAAUAC
rnacentral:pre_miRNA from 1 species